UCGUCACCGCCGCGGCCGCUCGUCACCUGAGAGCACUCUGGGGGUUGUAGUUUUCUGGCUCACUCUAGACAGGCCUGAAGAAGAGGUGGCUGUGUGGACUAAAACUACAACUCCCAUGAAGCCUAGCGGCGCAACGCGCAUUGUGUGGCGGGAGUGCCCUCUGAGACUCCGCCCUCCUCGGCGGGUGAAGCUUUUCUGCGGGAUUGUUGCAAUCUGGAAGGCUAAUUCUUCAAGUUAACGGAAAACAUAUGAGAUGUUAGAGACCACAUAAUUUUAUGAGAUUUUAUUCCGUUUCAGAUACAGAAGAUUAUAGGUGUAAUCCCCAUAAAAAUCUCAAAAAACAGAUGACUGGAUCAAGAAGAUGUGGUAUAUGUACACAAUGGAAUACUACUCAACAAUCAAAAAAGAUAAACUCAUGUAAUUCACAGCAACAUGGAUGGAGAUAGAAAAGAUUAUGCUCAGUGAAAUAAAUCAGAAGAAAAAGGAAAAAUUUUGAAUGGCUUCACUUAUAGGAGGAAUAUGGGGGUCAGAAAAAAAAGACAAAAGUAAUAUAUAAAGUUAACACAAACCUCAUCAAAUUACCAACAAUAUUCUUUAAAGAAAUUGAA